rnacentral:rRNA from 1 species
UACGUAGGGUGCGAGCGUUGUCCGGAAUUAUUGGGCGUAAAGAGCUUGUAGGCGGUUUGUCGCGUCUGCCGUGAAAAUCCGGGGCUCAACCCCGGACUUGCGGUGGGUACGGGCAGACUAGAGUGUGGUAGGGGAGACUGGAAUUCCUGGUGUAGCGGUGAAAUGCGCAGAUAUUAGGAGGAACACCGAUGGCGAAGGCAGGUCUCUGGGCCACUACUGACGCUGAGAAGCGAAAGCGUGGGGAGCGAACAGG